rnacentral:rRNA from 1 species
GGUUAAGCGACUAAGCGUACACGGUGGAUGCCCUGGCAGUCAGAGGCGAUGAAGGACGUGCUAAUCUGCGAUAAGCGUCGGUAAGGUGAUAUGAACCGUUAUAACCGGCGAUUUCCGAAUGGGGAAACCCAGUGUGAUUCGUCACACUAUCAUUAACUGAAUCCAUAGGUUAAUGAGGCGAACCGGGGGAACUGAAACAUCUAAGUACCCCGAGGAAAAGAAAUCAACCGAGAUUCCCCCAGUAGCGGCGAGCGAACGGGGAGCAGCCCAGAGCCUGAAUCAGUGUGUGUGUUAGUGGAAGCGUCUGGAAAGGCGCGCGAUACAGGGUGACAGCCCCGUACACAAAAAUGCACAUGCUGUGAGCUCGAUGAGUAGGGCGGGACACGUGGUAUCCUGUCUGAAUAUGGGGGGACCAUCCUCCAAGGCUAAAUACUCCUGACUGACCGAUAGUGAACCAGUACCGUGAGGGAAAGGCGAAAAGAACCCCGGCGAGGGGAGUGAAAAAGAACCUGAAACCGUGUACGUACAAGCAGUGGGAGCACGCUUCGGCGUGUGACUGCGUACCUUUUGUAUAAUGGGUCAGCGACUUAUAUUCUGUAGCAAGGUUAACCGAAUAGGGGAGCCGAAGGGAAACCGAGUCUUAACUGGGCGUUAAGUUGCAGG